GGCUCACUACCAAAAGGAGGAGGAGAAUGAUUUUACUUCACAGAAACUAUUGUAUUAGCUAGAUCCAAUGGAUUAUCAUGAUCAAACUUAUUGACAAAUAAAAAAUUAGGAGACCGAGGUCACUUGGCUUAAUGUUGUGGCAUUUGGAUAAGGGCCAAAUUUGAAUUGGGCCAACAUGUUCAGCCUACUAUACCCCAUCUAAUGCGCUAAAAGGAUUAAUCCCAGCCU
rnacentral:lncRNA from 1 species